AUACUGAACUUAAAAAUAGGUAUAUCGAGGGAACCGCCUGAACUGAAACAUCUAAGUAGGGCGAGGAAGAGACAUCAAACGAGAUUCCGUAAGUAGUGGCGAGCGAACGCGGAAGAGGGCAAACCGGAAGUAGAAAUACUUCCGGGGUACGGACUGCUUUUAGGACUUAAUCUGUUAACCGAACGGCAUGGGAAGGCCGGUCAGAGAGUGUGAGAACCACGUAGGUGAAAAUAGAGAGAGCUGCGCAGGAUCCAGAGUACGGCCAGACACGUGAAACCUGGUCGGAAUACGGGGGGACCACCCUCCAACCCUAAAUACUACCCAGUGACCGAUAGCGUAUAGUACUGUGAAGGAAAGGUG
rnacentral:rRNA from 1 species